AGAAGGGUGCCUGAUUAAAGGGCUAUUUUGAUAGAAUAGAUUAUGUAUGAAAAUACCCCUCCUA
rnacentral:tRNA from 1 species